GCUAUGGUUGUUGUGGUAGGAAAAUGAAAGGGAAAGAAAGUGUAUGUUUAUAUGGUGGUGGUGAAUGAUUAUGUAAGUGAAGGUCACAAGUUUGCUUCUGUUUUUGUUGUGUAGAGAUUGUGGUUUUUUUUACAUGGUGGUUGGGUGGUUCAAAGGAGAAAAGAGGGUUUGGGUGAGUUAGGGUUUAGGUUGGAAAGAGGGAGCUUGAGGGUGAUUUUGGACAGAGGUUUUGUGGCUUUUCAAGCUUG
rnacentral:lncRNA from 1 species